GGCAGUGUAGUAUAGUGGUUAAGGAGUGGGGCUCAUAACCUAAAGGUUGCCGGUUCGAUUCCCCACGGUGGCA